UACGUAGGGUGCAAGCGUUAAUCGGAAUUACUGGGCGUAAAGCGUGCGCAGGCGGUGAUGUAAGACAGGUGUGAAAUCCCCGGGCUUAACCUGGGAACUGCAUUUGUGACUGCAUCGCUGGAGUGCGGCAGAGGGGGAUGGAAUUCCGCGUGUAGCAGUGAAAUGCGUAGAUAUGCGGAAGAACACCAGUGGCGAAGGCGGCUCACUGGAUCGGUACUGACGCUGAGACGCGAAAGCGUGGGGAGCGAACAGG
rnacentral:rRNA from 1 species